rnacentral:rRNA from 1 species
AUUGAACGCUGGCGGCAGGCAUAACACAUGAAAGUCGAGCGAGCGGCGGACGGGUGAGUAAUGUAUGGGGAACUGCCCGAUAGAGGGGGAUAACUACUGGAAACGGUGGCUAAUAACGCAUACUAUCGGAUGAAACCAUAGUGGAUUAGCUAGUAGGUGGGGGAAAGGCUCAACUAGGCGACGAUCUCUAGCUGGCCUGAGAGGAUGAUCAGCCACAUUGGGACUGAGACACGGCCCAGACUCCUACGGGAGGCAGCAGUGGGGAAUAUUGCACAAUGGACGCAAGCCUGAUGCAGCCAGGCCGCGUGUAUGAUGAAGGCCUUAGGGUUGUAAAGUACUUUCAGCGGGGAGGCGUUACCCGCAGAAGAAGCACCGGCUAACUCCGUGCCAGCAGCCGCGGUAAUUC